CAAAUUUGAAACAGAAAAUGGUUAGAAAUUAAAUUUCCAACUACUUUCUAGUUUCUCUCCUCCCAAAUUUCCCAAAUUUUUACUAUUUCAAAACCCUAACGAAUCAAGAAAACAAUUACCCAAUUCCCCAAUUUCCCUUCUUCCUUGGUUCUUCCAUCGGAUUUCCGGUUCCAGUUCCAGUUCCAGAAUUUGAAUCCAUGGCCGUGGCUUGUGGGACUCGUUUGUCAAUUUCCAGCCUCUGAUUCUUGUCAUUUUUGCGUGCAAUGAUCCUGAUCUAGUUUCUUCCCUCCUGGGUUUUGUCGCCUCUUUUGUUUUGAUUGGAAUUUUAGGGUUCUUCGUUGGUUGCUCUGUUCAUGAUGGAAUUGAUUUCGCCUGUUGCCUUUGGCUUCGAGUCUGCAGAUUUCAGAUCUAGAGACAAAUGGGUAUUUGAAUUAGUUCAAAAUUACAUUUGUUUUCCUAAAAUUUGAUGGGAAACGAGAUAGCUUUCUGUUUUUUGUUUACAAAACGGUGUAUUUAGUUUAGUAGCUUGUAAAAGGAAAGCUAACGACACUUGAAUUUACUAUUUAUAAAUCUCUGUCUGAAUGGAAGAGCAAUUUUAGUAGUUUUGGAAAGCUGUUUUGGUAUGAUUUUUAGGAUUGUUAGGAGUGGUUUUAGCUAAGUAAGGCAAACACCAAGAAAAUUUUUGUGGAUUUAAAGCACUUUCUACAAUUUAAGAAGCUCUACCAAACUCACUUUAAUGCAGCUUCUUCCAAAAUAACUCACUCUAAAAGUACUUUUCCAUAUUUCCACUAUAGUGAAAAAUGAUUUAGACCUUCUGAAAACACUUUAAAGUACGAAAUUGCUCUCAAAUGUCAUUUGAAACUAAUUCUAUCUAAAAAAAGAAAAAGGGAAAAACAAGUUUUGGAAUGCUUAGGUUUUAUUCUAAAAACCAGCCAGUACUCAGGAGCUUAGUGCAUAAUAGGGAUCAUUCACGCAAAAAUGUUAUGAAUCAUAGGCUGGUUUAGCUAAGAUUUUAUCAUUUGAAUGGAGCCAAGAUCAUUCUYCAUCCAGCAAAGAAGUAUGGAACAAGGUAACCCCAAAACUCUUCAUUUCAUGAUGAUGGAAUCUUCUUUCUUUUUACCUUCAUAUCUUUUCCAUCUUCUGUUUAUCCAUGGUUGGAAAUUUUCUGAAGCUUUUUAACAGUUGGUAGAACAGGUGAGAAGUUCUUGGGGAACUGCCAUUCAUUUUCUUUAGGCUUCUUAAAAGUUGUUCUCAGGUGCUGUUCCCCCUUUUCGGGGGAUCCUUCUGUAAGCUUUUUUUUUUUUUUGCUAUUUUAUGGAAUAUUUAGAUAGAGAGGAAUAGUAGAAUUUUUAGGGAUGGACAGGUUUUAGGAGGAAAUUUUGGGGCUUGUUAGCUUUAAUAUCUCCGUGUGGUGUCGGUUUUUAAGGCUUAUGUAAUUACUAGGUGUCCUUUUGGAUUUGGGUCCCUUUUGUCGAGCUUGUUUUUUUGCAUGCCUCCUGUUGGAGGUGAUUUUUCACUUUGACCACGUGGUAACCCCUGAUAGGAUGAAGAUGAUGAGACAGCGUUAAGACCCAUUGGUGCAAGGGUUGCUGCCUCAAUUUUCAUCCAUAAGGCCAAGCCGAGCUAUCUGGUAGCUCGGCCACCUAAGAGAUAGGCAGAGCUGACAGCCUGGGUUGCCAGCCGUGACGAUUGAAUGAUGCCUUCAGAAAUCAAUCUCCAACAUACCCCACGACAACAUAUCGUGAUUUUCAGAACUUUAAAGAGCUAUUGGAGACUUGGAGGCUUGUCAGACUGUUGGUCGGAAGCUCCACCUAUAAAUAGAGACCUCUCGCCUUAUUUUCAUGUAUGUUUUCCUUUUGAGGUCUCCUACUUGCCAGACUCUCAGCUCACCAGCUGAGCCAGCUUCCGUCCAAGUCGAGCUUUGUGUACUUGGUCAAAUUUUGGAUUAAACACCCCUCGUAUGUUCUUUCAUUUAUUUCUUAUUAAAAAAAAAACAAAAGUUGUUCUUAGUUAGCAGAAGAGUUUUUUUAGAACUUAUGGGAAUUGUGAUUGUGAGUUGUAAAUAUUUAGGUUAUUGUACAAUUAAAUUUUUGUUAUAUGAAAUAUAAAACAGUUUUAGAUACAACAUUCAAAUA